GAACUUCUUGUUCAAUUAUCUUCUGAACUUUUAGUUCAGUAUAACUAGUAUGUGGAUUUCUUAACUAAUGAAGAUCUUUCCAUUCCAUGUAACUUCUCGGCAU